rnacentral:rRNA from 1 species
CAGGCUUAACACAUGCAAGUCGAGGGGCAUCAGGAAGAAAGCUUGCUUUCUUUGCUGGCGACCGGCGCACGGGUGAGUAACACGUAUCCAACCUGCCCUUUACCCGGGGAUAGCCUUUCGAAAGAAAGAUUAAUACCCGAUAGCAUAAUGAUUCCGCAUGGUUUCAUUAUUAAAGGAUUCCGGUAAAGGAUGGGGAUGCGUUCCAUUAGGUUGUUGGUGAGGUAACGGCUCACCAAGCCUUCGAUGGAUAGGGGUUCUGAGAGGAAGGUCCCCCACAUUGGAACUGAGACACGGUCCAAACUCCUACGGGAGGCAGCAGUGAGGAAUAUUGGUCAAUGGGCGGUAGCCUGAACCAGCCAAGUAGCGUGAAGGAUGAAGGCUCUAUGGGUCGUAAACUUCUUUUAUAUAAGAAUAAAGUGCAGUAUGUAUACUGUUUUGUAUGUAUUAUAUGAAUAAGGAUCGGCUAACUCCGUGCCAGCAGCCGCGGUAAUACGGAGGAUCCGAGCGUUAUCCGGAUUUAUUGGGUUUAAAGGGAGCGUAGGUGGACUGGUAAGUCAGUUGUGAAAGUUUGCGGCUCAACCGUAAAAUUGCAGUUGAUACUGUCAGUCUUGAGUACAGUAGAGGUGGGCGGAAUUCGUGGUGUAGCGGUGAAAUGCUUAGAUAUCACGAAGAACUCCGAUUGCGAAGGCAGCUCACUGGACUGCAACUGACACUGAUGCUCGAAAGUGUGGGUAUCAAACAGGAUUAGAUACCCUGGUAGUCCACACAGUAAACGAUGAAUACUCGCUGUUUGCGAUAUACAGUAAGCGGCCAAGCGAAAGCAUUAAGUAUUCCACCUGGGGAGUACGCCGGCAACGGUGAAACUCAAAGGAAUUGACGGGGGCCCGCACAAGCGGAGGAACAUGUGGUUUAAUUCGAUGAUACGCGAGGAACCUUACCCGGGCUUAAAUUGCAGUGGAAUGAUGUGGAAACAUGUCAGUGAGCAAUCACCGCUGUGAAGGUGCUGCAUGGUUGUCGUCAGCUCGUGCCGUGAGGUGUCGGCUUAAGUGCCAUAACGAGCGCAACCCUUAUCUUUAGUUACUAACAGGUUAUGCUGAGGACUCUAGAGAGACUGCCGUCGUAAGAUGUGAGGAAGGUGGGGAUGACGUCAAAUCAGCACGGCCCUUACGUCCGGGGCUACACACGUGUUACAAUGGGGGGUACAGAAGGCAGCUAGCGGGUGACCGUAUGCUAAUCCCAAAAGCCUCUCUCAGUUCGGAUCGAAGUCUGCAACCCGACUUCGUGAAGCUGGAUUCGCUAGUAAUCGCGCAUCAGCCACGGCGCGGUGAAUACGUUCCCGGGCCUUGUACACACCGCCCGUCAAGCCAUGGGAGCUGGGGGUACCUGAAGUACGUAACCGCAAGGAUCGUCCUAGGGUAAAACUGGUGACUGGGGC